rnacentral:rRNA from 1 species
UACGGAGGGGGCUAGCGUUGUUCGGAAUUACUGGGCGUAAAGCGCACGUAGGCGGCUUUGCAAGUUAGAGGUGAAAGCCCAGAGCUCAACUCUGGAAUUGCCUUUGAGACUGAGUGGCUUGAGUACGAGAGAGGUGAGUGGAAUUCCCAGUGUAGAGGUGAAAUUCGUAGAUAUUGGGAAGAACACCGGUGGCGAAGGCGGCUCACUGGCUCGUAACUGACGCUCAUGCACGACAGCGUGGGGAUCAAACAGG